UCCCGCGUAGCUCAGUGGUAGAGCGGUCGGCUGUUAACCGACUGGCCGUAGGUUCGAGUCCUACCGCGGGAGCCA
rnacentral:tRNA from 2 species